GAUGAACGCUGGCGGCGUGCCUAAUACAUGCAAGUCGAGCGAACGGACGAGAAGCUUGCUUCUCUGAUGUUAGCGGCGGACGGGUGAGUAACACGUGGAUAACCUACCUAUAAGACUGGGAUAACUUCGGGAAACCGGAGCUAAUACCGGAUAAUAUUUUGAACCGCAUGGUUCAAAAGUGAAAGACGGUCUUGCUGUCACUUAUAGAUGGAUCCGCGCUGCAUUAGCUAGUUGGUAAGGUAACGGCUUACCAAGGCAACGGUGCAUAGCCGACCUAAGAGGGUGAUCGGCCACACUGGAACUGAGACACGGUCCAGACUCCUACGGGAGGCAGCAGUAGGGAAUCUUCCGCAAUGGGCGAUAGCCUGACGGAGCAACGCCGCGUGAGUGAUGAAGGUCUUCGGAUCGUAAAACUCUGUUAUUAGGGAAGAACAUAUGUGUAAGUAACUGUGCACAUCUUGACGGUACCUAAUCAGAAAGCCACGGCUAACUACGUGCCAGCAGCCGCGGUAAUACGUAGGUGGCAAGCGUUAUCCGGAAUUAUUGGGCGUAAAGCGCGCGUAGGCGGUUUUUUAAGUCUGAUGUGAAAGCCCACGGCUCAACCGUGGAGGGUCAUUGGAAACUGGAAAACUUGAGUGCAGAAGAGGAAAGUGGAAUUCCAUGUGUAGCGGUGAAAUGCGCAGAGAUAUGGAGGAACACCAGUGGCGAAGGCGACUUUCUGGUCUGUAACUGACGCUGAUGUGCGAAAGCGUGGGGAUCAAACAGGAUUAGAUACCCUGGUAGUCCACGCCGUAAACGAUGAGUGCUAAGUGUUAGGGGGUUUCCGCCCCUUAGUGCUGCAGCUAACGCAUUAAGCACUCCGCCUGGGGAGUACGACCGCAAGGUUGAAACUCAAAGGAAUUGACGGGGACCCGCACAAGCGGUGGAGCAUGUGGUUUAAUUCGAAGCAACGCGAAGAACCUUACCAAAUCUUGACAUCCUUUGACAACUCUAGAGAUAGAGCCUUCCCCUUCGGGGGACAAAGUGACAGGUGGUGCAUGGUUGUCGUCAGCUCGUGUCGUGAGAUGUUGGGUUAAGUCCCGCAACGAGCGCAACCCUUAAGCUUAGUUGCCAUCAUUAAGUUGGGCACUCUAAGUUGACUGCCGGUGACAAACCGGAGGAAGGUGGGGAUGACGUCAAAUCAUCAUGCCCCUUAUGAUUUGGGCUACACACGUGCUACAAUGGACAAUACAAAGGGCAGCGAAACCGCGAGGUCAAGCAAAUCCCAUAAAGUUGUUCUCAGUUCGGAUUGUAGUCUGCAACUCGACUACAUGAAGCUGGAAUCGCUAGUAAUCGUAGAUCAGCAUGCUACGGUGAAUACGUUCCCGGGUCU
rnacentral:rRNA from 1 species